UGCAAAUAAAACAUUUCAACGGUCACAUGUCUCUGUGUUACAGUGUGUCUAGUCCAGGUGUGUCUAGUCCAGGUGUGUGUCUAGUCCAGGUGUGUGUCUGUGUUACAGUGUGUCUAGUCCAGGUGUGUCUAGUCCAGGUGUGUCUCUGUGUUACAGUGUGUCUAGUCCAAUUGUGUGUGUCUAGUCCAGGUGUGUCUAGUCCAGAUGGGUCUAGUCCAGGUGGGUCUAGUCCAGGUGGGUCUAGUCCAGGUGUGUGUCUACUCCAGGUAUGUCUCUGUGUUACAGUGUGUCUAGUCCAGGUGGGUCUAGUCCAGGUGUGUCUGUGUUACAGUGUAUCUAGUCCAGGUGGGUCUAGUCCAGGUGUGUGUCUAGCCCAGGUGUGUGUCUAGUCCAGGUGUGUGUCUAGUCCAGGUGUGUGUCUAGUCCAGGUGCGUC